rnacentral:tRNA from 1 species
GUUCCAUUAGCUCAGUUGGUUAGAGCGCGAGUCUUAUGAGCUCGAGGUCACGGGUUCAAGCCCCGUAUGGAACA